rnacentral:sRNA from 1 species
AGCAUAGCUUGCGCUCAGGCUUUCGGUACGAAUGAAGGUACCCAUUCGUUAGACCUGUCCCGCGGACAGGGAAUCGUUACGGAUUUAGCGCACUGAGCGAUCCUCACGGCGCAAGCG